rnacentral:lncRNA from 1 species
CUUACAGAGGGGCUACGACCUGUCCUCAUGGCAGGUGAAGGGGGAGGGGGAUCUGAAUGAAUAAGACGUGGUUUCUGUUCUUCAAAAACUUCAGUUUUCAAAAUCCCCACGAUCAAGGAAGAAGGAACUGAAGUUCAGAGGUAUUUUCUGACUUGCCCUAAGUCACACACUGCUGGGACUAAAGCCAGGUCUGAUUCUUUUCUGAAUAAAUGGACACCCAUUACCAUACACAGGAAACCAUCUCAAUGUUGGAAGAGCCAUCGGGCACAGCAAAAGAAACUGUGGACAGCAAAGCAGGCUCAGAACUUCUCUCUUACCCAGUUUUAUGAAUGAAUAAGUCAAACCAAGUGACAUUUCCUAAGGUUCUAUUUGGUGCUCCAAAUGAAAACUUCUUGGUUUCAGGGUUACAUAGAAAAGUAAAGAGCCAGCUGGCGGAAGUCAUUCCUUUGGGGUACUAUGCAUGCAAUUCCAGCCUCUAACACUAGGUGGCUUGUUGACGUUGGCCAAUUAGUAUCCCUGGGCUACUGGGCUCACACGUGAACUCCUUCUGCAACAAGCCUUACUGUUUAAAGAGAAGAGCUCUGCCAACUACAGAGAUCUUACUUAAGCCAUCUUCAUCAAUUACCAACUAUUAAAGCUGCAAAUUCAUCUUUCAGAUCAGAAACAAGAAGCUGAGAGUAAAAAAACUUGCCAAUCAGAGAAGGCCCCAAAUUACCAGUCACUCCUUGUCUCAGCUCUCCUGGCUUGUUUUGAAAUUUAGAUCUGCAGUAACUGGUUCAUAAAGAAGAGCAAAAGGUACUCCUUUAGAAUCUCCGUUUAUUGUAUUUUAUUAUUUUUUUUUUGUCUUUACCUUUUUGCUGGAGACUCCCUAAAAGAGACCCAAGGCUUUUCCCCUCCUAACAGUACAACACAACUGUCCAUGUAGACUUUAGAUACCAUGUUAUCAUCAAAACCACCAGUGAACGGUUCCUAGGCUCGUCUCUCCCAUCACCCAUCUCCAGAGAGACUUUUGAAACAAAAACCUUAGCAAUCACCUUGGCCCCAAACUUCACCCCAUCUUGGAAGGGAGGGGAGAGUGUUCCGACUUACUGACGACGAAGUGUGGCUGGGGUUUGAGCACCCUUCUGGUUAGGCUGGUGAUGAGGGUGUGGGAAGAGGGCUGUGCCGUGACAUACACCCCCAUCCCACAGGGACCCAGAAACAGGAAGGCAAUUCAGGUACGUAUAGUGAUGUGAGAUCGAUGAACC